UUUAACAAGUACAUCUGAGCAGAGAGAACUUUAGCUCACACCCCCGAAACUAGAGCGACCUACUUCAAGACAGCCUAACGGAACAACUCCCUGAAGGGCACACCCGUGUCUGUAGCAAAAGACUGGGAAGAUCUUCAAGUAGCAGCGAUACACCUAUCGAGCCUAGUAAUAGCUGGUUGCCUAAGAAAUGAAUGUAAGUUCAGCCUCCCGCCUCUUCCCCCCAACGACUACCCAUCCCCCAAGGCCUAAAACCAGCCGAGAGAGUUAGUCAAACUGGGUACAGCCAGUUUGAAAAAGGAUACAACCUCUUUAGGAAAACAAAGACCCCCGCCCAAUAAAACCCCCUCUUAGUGGGCUUAAAAGCAGCCACCUAUAAAAAAAGCGUUACAGCUCAGACAAAACUCCCCCCUUAACCCCUCAAACCAAUUCUAAACCCAACCCUCUAUUUCCUACCAACUAUUAGGCCCUCCCACAAACCCUGGGAAAGACCCUGUUAAAACGAGUAAUAAGAGAAACGCCCCUCUCCUACCACAUGUGUGUACCUCGGAACGGACCAACCACCGACAGCUAACGACCCGCUACAGAGGGAAAGCUACACCACAAUAAUAACAAGAAAACCCAGCACACCCCCUCGUUAACCCAACACAGGCAUGUGUACCCUAGGAAAGACUAAAACAAAGAGAAGGAACUCGGCAAACACUAGCCUCGCCUGUUUACCAAAAACACCGCCUCUUGCAACAAACACAUAAGAGGUCCAGCCUGCCCAGUGACACACAUAGUUAAACGGCCGCGGUAUUCUGACCGUGCGAAGGUAGCGCAAUCACUUGCCUUUUAAUUGAAGGCUAGUAUGAACGGCUUCACGAGGGCUCAACUGUCUCCCCUUUGAAGUCAAUGAAACUGAUCUCCCCGUGCAAAAGCGGGGAUACCCUCGUAAGACGAGAAGACCCUAUGAAGCUUAAGACACAAGACAACCCACACCCCACGCUCCACAAAAGCAAAAGUGCCGAUAUUGUCCGCGUCUUCGGUUGGGGCGACCACGGAGAUAAACAAAACCCCCGCACGGACCCAGGCCAACACCCUUCAAAAAGACCCACAGGUCAAACUACAGAACUUCUGACCAUAAAAGAUCCGGCACACGCCGAUCAAUGGACCUAGUUACUCUAGGGAUAACAGCGCAAUCCCCUCCAAGAGCCCACAUCUACGAGGGGGCUUACGACCUCGAUGUUGGAUCAGGACACCCCAAUGGUGCAGCCGCUAUUAAAG
rnacentral:rRNA from 1 species